rnacentral:tRNA from 1 species
GUAGACGUUAGCUCAGUGGUUAGAGCACAGGCACAGGCCUCUGGCUCUCGGGUCCGCGAGUUCGAGUCCCGUCGUCUAUU